GUCUCCUUUGGGCCCCUUGGGGCCUGGGUCGCCCACACUCCCUGUGGCUCCUGUGUUUCCCAUGAGUCCUGGCUCCCCUCUGGGUCCUUCAAGACAAGCAGGGCACAGAGGACUCACAUGUCUGAACUCCAGUCACCCCAA